rnacentral:rRNA from 1 species
UACGGGGGGGGCAAGCGUUGUUCGGAAUUACUGGGCGUAAAGGGCUCGUAGGCGGCCAACUAAGUCAGACGUGAAAUCCCCAGGCUCAACCUGGGAACUGCGUCUGAUACUGGAUGGCUUGAAUCCGGGAGAGGGAUGCAGAAUUCCAGGUGUAGCGGUGGAAUGCGUAGAGAUCCGGAAGAACACCGGUGGCGAAGGCGGCCUGCUGGGCAGUUGCUGACACUGAGGCGCGACAGCGUGGGGAGCAAACGGG